CCGUGCUAAAUGGGGAAUUAGCGGUGCCUUGUAACCUGCAAUCCGCUACAGCAGGAUUGAAGCUAAUGCUAGGCUUGCACCUAAUAAUUUUUGAAUGAAGAGUAGAUAUUGAUAUGCAGAUCUUUUGCAAUGUGUAUAGGAUGAAUCCCGUCAGGCCUGAAAAGGAGCAUCGGUAAGUUUAAAUACAUAUGUGCAGAUUUUAAUCUACAUUGAGUUUAUUUUUUUUAUCAAAGUUAUAUUUGGAAAAGUCAAACAUUAGUGCACGG
rnacentral:SRP_RNA from 1 species